rnacentral:rRNA from 1 species
GACGAACGCUGGCGGCGUGCUUAACACAUGCCAGUCGAACGGAAAGGCCCUGCUUUUGUGGGGUGCUCGAGUGGCGAACGGGUGAGUAACACGUGAGUAACCUGCCCUCGACUUUGGGAUAACUUCAGGAAACUGGGGCUAAUACCGGAUAGGAGCUCCUGCUGCAUGGUGGGGGUUGGAAAGUUUCGGCGGUUGGGGAUGGACUCGCGGCUUAUCAGCUUGUUGGUGGGGUAGUGGCUUACCAAGGGUUUGACGGGUAGCCGGCCUGGGAGGGGGACCGGCCACAUUGGGACUAAGAUACGGCCCAGACUCGUACGGGAGGCAGCAGUGGGGAGUAUUGCAGAAUGGGCGGAAGCCUGAUGCAGCGACGCCGCGUGCGGGAUGACGGCCUUCGGGUUGUAAACCGCUUUCGCCUGUGACGAAGCGUGAGUGACGGUAAUGGGUAAAGAAGCAACGGCUAACUACGUG